rnacentral:lncRNA from 1 species
CCGGGAGUACCGCGCCCUAAAGCAGUCGGUGGUCCAUGCCGGCGGCGGGCUCCGCAGCUCCGAGCCGUCGCUCCCAGCGGAGGAGGUACCUGAGCCCGUGACCCCAACCUGCCGGUCAGCUUCCUGUAUUGCCGGGUGUUGGGAGCCAAGAGCAAUCUCAGCCAAGCCUCCGGAGCAUAGAACUUGGGCGGAGGAUAGAGCCACACCUUCCUGCUGGGGGUGGGUGUUGCAGACACCUCAACCAGCCUUUUUCUGGUCUGGACCCCUACUUCCUCCUCCUGAAGGUUCUGGAGGACAGCUGCUGGGGACCCCACCUGAAUCGGGCAGCAACCCAGAGUCCACAACCUACUCCACAGAUGAGCCCGCGGGGAUCUGUGCAGGACUAUGGAAAGAGGCUCAAGGCCAAUCUCAAGGUCAUACUACAGGCUGAGCCAACACUGGGCCGCAGACUCCAGCCUCCACGAAGACCCUUGUCUAAGAUGCCCACCACAGGUCCACCCAGCCCAAGGACUGCCCCCACUUCUCCAGAAGAAGUCAGUGGUGGCACACUACCCCAGCCAUCUGAGCCCAAGCGAAGUCCAGGCCGGCUCCAGCAGCUUCGGGCAUCUCUGAGACUGCGGCUGGGCUCCCUAGACCCUGGCUGGCUUCAGCGGUGCCACAGUGGACCCUUAGAUUUUCUGAAGCCCCCCAGUGCCUGCAGUCCUGGCCUGGGUAGAAAGGAGUCACAACACCUGACGUCGGGAGAGUUUCUUGUCUUUGGUCCCAAUACUUGCUCUGAGGAAUUCUCACAAGGUCCAGAGACUCCAGCCCCACAGGCAGCCCAAAAUGAUAUGGGGAGCCCUCAGCCCAGCAACCCUCAAGGCAAGAAGCCAAAGUGGAGUGAGACUGGAGGGAGCCCUGUGCAGUCCCAGCAGGACAUCAGCCAAACAGGACCCUUGUCUGAGGGGACAGGGGCUGUAGCACUUGAAGAAGACCUUCCAGGGCAACCUGUACAGGCCCAGCCAUCUCAGCCCCGUAGCAGUUCCUCAAGUCCAUCUAGGAGAAAGAAGCCUAAGGGGAUGGCCCAUACGUUGUCCCGUAGACCAGCUAUCCAGGACAGAAGUAACUAUGUCCGGCUCAACAUGAAGCACAAACGUUAUGUGUGGGGUGGGGCCCUUCGAGGUAGGCUCCUCCGCAGGCAGGUGAGAUGGGCAUAG